rnacentral:rRNA from 1 species
CAGUCGCCACGGGAAUACGAAGGGGGCAAGCGUUGUUCGGAAUUAUUGGGCGUAAAGGGUGCGUAGGCGGCUUGACAAGUCUUGUGUGAAAUCUAUGGGCUCAACCCAUAGUCUGCACGGGAAACUGUCGGGCUUGAGAAUGGGAGAGGUGAGUGGAAUUUCCGGUGUAGCGGUGAAGUGCGUAGAUAUCGAAAGGAACACCUGUGGCGAAAGCGGCUCACUGGACCAUUUCUGACGCUCAUGCACGAAAGCGUGGGGAGCAAACAGGAUUAGAUACCCCCGUAGUCCCUGUCUCUUAUAC